rnacentral:rRNA from 1 species
GCCCUACGGGGCGCAGCAGGCGCGAAAACUUUACAAUGCGGGAAACCGUGAUAAGGGGACACCGAGUGCCAGCAUCAUAUGCUGGCUGUCCGGAUGUGUAAAAUACAUCCGUUAGCAAGGGCCGGGCAAGACCGGUGCCAGCCGCCGCGGUAACACCGGCGGCCCGAGUGGUGAUCGUGAUUAUUGGGUCUAAAGGGUCCGUAGCCGGUUUGGUCAGUCCUCCGGGAAAUCUGAUAGCUUAACUAUUAGGCUUUCGGGGGAUACUGCCAGACUGGAACCGGGAGAGUAAGA